GAUGAACGCUGGCGGCGUGCUUAACACAUGCAAGUCGAACGAAGCACUUUAUUUGAUUUCCUUCGGGACUGAUUAUUUUGUGACUGAGUGGCGGACGGGUGGGUAACGCGUGGGUAACCUGCCUUGUACAGGGGGAUAACAGUUGGAAACGGCUGCUAAUACCGCAUAAGCGCACAGCAUCGCAUGAUGCAGUGUGAAAAACUCCGGUGGUAUAAGAUGGACCCGCGUUGGAUUAGCUAGUUGGUGAGGUAACGGCCCACCAAGGCGACGAUCCAUAGCCGACCUGAGAGGGUGACCGGCCACAUUGGGACUGAGACACGGCCCAAACUCCUACGGGAGGCAGCAGUGGGGAAUAUUGCACAAUGGGCGAAAGCCUGAUGCAGCGACGCCGCGUGAGCGAAGAAGUAUUUCGGUAUGUAAAGCUCUAUCAGCAGGGAAGAUAAUGACGGUACCUGACUAAGAAGCACCGGCUAAAUACGUG
rnacentral:rRNA from 1 species